UAGGGAAUAUUGGGCAAUGGGCGCAAGCCUGACCCAGCGACGCCGCGUGAGGGAUGAAGGUCUUCGGAUUGUAAACCUCUUUCAGUAGGGAAGAAGCGAAAGUGACGGUACCUAAAGAAGAAGCACCGGCUAACUAUGUG
rnacentral:rRNA from 1 species